UACGAGAGGCCCAAACGUUAUUCGGAAUUACUGGGCUUAAAGAGUUCGUAGGCGGCAUUGCAAGUAGGGUGUGAAAGCCCUCGGCUCAACCGAGGAAUUGCGCUCUAAACUGCAGUGCUUGAGGACCUAGAGGUGAGCAGAACAGAUGGUGGAGCGGUGAAAUGCGUUGAUAUCAUCUGGAAUACCGGAGGCGAAGGCGGCUCACUGGGAGUUUUCUGACGCUGAGGAACGGAAAGCCAGGGUAGCGAACGGG
rnacentral:rRNA from 1 species